GUGUCACAUUUGAGUUGCACUGAAAGGAUCUUGAAAAAGAUCCCAAACCUUAAGAAGUUGAAGAUUGAUUGUUCUGGGGGUGGUCAUCAUGAAGAUGCAGCGUGUUUGAAUGAUCUGGUACAUCUACACCAGCUCGAGAAUUUGGAAGUAUAUGCUGGUAGACGGGUUGGAUCUCGGCCAAAGCACUACAAGAUUUCUUAUCCUAGCAUGCUGAAAAAGUUGAGUUUGAUUGAUUUGAGACUUCCUUGGAGCCACAUGAUUGUUGUUGGUUCAUUGCCAAAUCUACAAGUACUUAAACUAAAAAGUUGUACUUGGGUCGAUGGUGACACAUGGGAAACAAUCGAAGGAGCAUUCCCAGCGUUGGAAGUUCUUCUAAUUGGAGGUUCAGGGUUGGAGAAUUGGACAACUGAAAGUAGCCAUUUCCCCAAACUCAAACGGCUACUGCUUCGUUCUUGUUGGGAUCUCAAUGGGAUUCCAAAUGAUAUUGGAGACAUUUCAACUCUUGAACUCAUUGAGGUUACUGGAAAAGUGAAAGAGUCUCUAAUGGAGUCGGUUGAAUUGAUACGAGAGGAGCAAGAAGAAUAUGGAAACAACAUCCUUCAAGUUGUCUGCAGUGCUAAGACCUAAAGAUGUGGAUUUGGAUAAGCCGGUGUUAUGUGUGUUUUGUUGGCCGAUCAUCGGGUUUCAAGCUUUCAGAGUUUUGAGUUGAUGAUGAUGAUGACAAAAACAUGCUGAUGUAUCUUUCUCAUUAUUCAGAUUGAAAAAGAAAAGAGGAUGGGAAUGUGUUCUCAUAUUGAAGAGGUCCUCUUAAGCAAUGAAGUUUGGAACUUGUUUUGAUUUGUUAGAAGUUUUUUUCGCGUGUGAGUGGAUAAUGUUUUGAAGAGUGAUAACAUUGUGUCAUUUAUCAUGUGUAUAUGUCAAUGUUUUUAGAAAGAAUGUUGAUAUUUCAUAUUUAGUUUCUUUUUUCCAA